AGUGAACGCUGGCGGUAGGCCUAACACAUGCAAGUCGAACGGCAGCACAGUAAGAGCUUGCUCUUACGGGUGGCGAGUGGCGGACGGGUGAGGAAUACAUCGGAAUCUACUUUUUCGUGGGGGAUAACGUAGGGAAACUUACGCUAAUACCGCAUACGACCUACGGGUGAAAGCAGGGGAUCUUCGGACCUUGCGCGAUUGAAUGAGCCGAUGUCGGAUUAGCUAGUUGGCGGGGUAAAGGCCCACCAAGGCGGCGAUCCGUAGCUGGUCUGAGAGGCGGAUAGGCCACACUGGAGCUGGGACACGGUCCAGACUACUACGGGAGGCAGCAGUGGGGAAUAUUGGACAAUGGGCGCAAGCCUGAUACAGCCAUACCGCGUGGGUGAAGAAGGCCUUCGGGUUGUAAAGACCUUUUGUUGGGAAAGAAAAGCAGCAGGUUAAUACCCCGCUGUUCUGACGGUACCCAAAGAAUAAGCACCGGCUAACUUCGUG
rnacentral:rRNA from 1 species